rnacentral:lncRNA from 1 species
UAUAUUCAGCUGUGCGCCUGUGUUUUUGCUGCUACUGCAGAUCUCAUGCCAUGGAAGAUCUGGGCAGCCAGACAACCAGUCUUUUUAAUCUUUUACCGUAACUCAUCUGCGUAGCAAGAUCAGGAUUAGAAUUAGAAAUAAAUAAAAAAUAGAUUGGGAUUUUGAACAAAAACGUGACCAAAUGCUCAACCAAAAGCUAGCUGCAUAUUUCUUGUAGAUCCAUCUAUCCAUCGAUCGAUCAAUCAGCCAGUCAAUCUAUUCAUAAAUGUAAGAAGAAAAUUGCAGCUCAAAAUUCAAGAACCAGCAGAACAUAGCGUGUAAAAUGGUCACUCCUGGUUGAAUUAUUGAGCUAAAAAUAGAAUACUCCCCUGCAUUAAAUCGUGCAAUAAAUUCUAGUUGUUAGGGUUGUG